rnacentral:rRNA from 1 species
GAUGAACGCUGGCGGCGUGCCUAAUACAUGCAAGUCGAGCGAACAGACGAGGAGCUUGCUCCUCUGACGUUAGCGGCGGACGGGUGAGUAACACGUGGAUAACCUACCUAUAAGACUGGGAUAACUUCGGGAAACCGGAGCUAAUACCGGAUAAUAUAUUGAACCGCAUGGUUCAAUAGUGAAAGACGGUUUUGCUGUCACUUAUAGAUGGAUCCGCGCCGCAUUAGCUAGUUGGUAAGGUAACGGCUUACCAAGGCAACGAUGCGUAGCCGACCUGAGAGGGUGAUCGGCCACACUGGAACUAGGACACGGUCCAGACUCCUACGGGAGGCAGCAGUAGGGAAUCGUCCGCAAUGGGCGAAAGCCUGACGGAGCAACGCCGCGUGAGUGAUGAAGUUCUUCGGAUCGUAAAACUCUGUUAUGAGGGAAGAACAAAUGUGUAAGUAACUAUGCACGGCUUGACGGUACCUAAUCAGAAAGCCACGGCUAACUACGUG